UACGUAGGGGGCAAGCGUUGUCCGGAUUUACUGGGCGUAAAGCGCGUGUAGGCGGAAACGAAAGUCCGGUGUGAAAGCCCCCGGCUCAACCGGGGAAGGUCGCUGGAAACUGCGUUUCUUGAGGACGGCAGAGGGAAGUGGAAUUGCUGGUGUAGCGGUGAAAUGCGUAGAGAUCAGCAGGAACACCCGUGGCGAAGGCGGCUUCCUGGGCCGUGCCUGACGCUGAGACGCGAAAGCGUGGGGAGCGAACGGG
rnacentral:rRNA from 1 species